UACGUAGGGGGCAAGCGUUGUCCGGAUUUAUUGGGCGUAAAGAGCUCGUAGGUGGUUCGGUAAGUCGGAUGUGAAAUCUCCAGGCUCAACUUGGAGCGGUCAUUCGAUACUGCCGUGACUAGAGGUCGGUAGGGGAGUGUGGAAUUCCUGGGUGGAGCGGUGAAAUGCGCAGAUAUCAAGAGGAACACCUGCGGCGAAGGCGGGUUGCUGGGCUGACACUGACGCUGAGGCGCGAAAGCUAGGGGAGCGAACGGG
rnacentral:rRNA from 1 species